rnacentral:rRNA from 1 species
UUAUUUUGCGCAGCUUAGGUGGGAGGCUAUGAACCUUUUCUUCUGGGAAGAGGGGAGCCAUCAGUGAGAUACCACUCUUGGUAAGCUAGAGCGCUCAGUCUUCACCGUCAUCCGGUAAGACGACAGUUUCAGGCGGGCAGUUUGACUGGGGCAGUCACCUCCCAAAAGGUAAUGGAGGUGUGCAAAGGUUCCCUCAGGCUGGACGGAAAUCAGCCAUAGAGUGUAAAAGCAUAAGGGAGCUUGACUGCGAGACUGACAUGUCAAGCAGAGACGAAAGUCGGCUUUAGUGAUCCGACGGUGCUGUGUGGAAAGGCCGUCGCUCAACGGAUAAAAGUUACUCUAGGGAUAACAGG